rnacentral:lncRNA from 1 species
ACUUGAGCAGUGCCUCUGGACUUCAAGUUGUGGGUCUUCACUCAUUUAUUUAUUUUUUUUGGCAGUUGGUGAUUGGUCAGUGGUGGUCCAACAUGCAGAAGUGACUGAGUGGUGAAAAACAGCAGAGCUGAUGGGUCAUGAGGAUGUAAGUGCGUUGGAAGGCUCUCACACCCUUUACUCCAGGAGAGAGCACAAGUGUAAGAGGAAGAGAGAAUCUCAAGCAGAUUCCAUUCUGAGUGCAGAGCCUGAGACGGGGCUCAAUAUCACAAUCCUGAGAUCAGGACCUGAGGUAAAACCAAAAGUUGAAUGCUUAACCAACUAUGCCACCCAGGUGCCCCAUCCCACUUGUGUGUUUUGUUUUGUUUUGUUUUUUAAGAUUUUAUUUAUUUAUUUGACAGAGAGAGAGAUUACAAGUAGGCAGAGAGGUAGACGGGGUGGGGGGGGGAGCAGGCUCCCCACUGAGCAGAGAGCCUGAUGUAGGG